ensembl:lncRNA
UCAGUAAGCUGUCCCACCUGAAGAAGGCGGAAAAUGUCUGCUUGAUGUCCCGGGGGGAGAGACAGGCACACUAGUCUAGGCACUUCUUCUUUCCAGGCAUUCAUUUUCAGAAGCUGUACGUCCCUUUCCUAAGGCUGGUCCGAGAAAGGACACAAAAUGAAGAGGCAAAAGGAGGUCAACGGUGAUACUAAUGGACUCUCCGGGGAAGGCAGCUCUGGACGAGGAGCAAAAGAAGAGGAUCCAGAAGACGAAUCACUCCCAAUCCCAAUCGCCGGAGUACUGAUCACCUGCACCCAGCAAUCACUCACCUGGAUAAAGCCAUCAUCACGCCAAUCCCCAUUGACGUUCUCCAGUGAUUCUCCAUUGCUGUCUCCCCAUGUCUCACUCUCCAGAGCUCUGGGCUUCAUCCAUUCAGUGACUUACCAUAUCGUUGUCAUACUGCAUUCUGUAAAUAAACUAUCUGCUUAACUAACCCUCCGUCUGUAUCUUGGUUUGUGACACCUCACUAUCGAAAAC